CUCUUUGCCCUAACCAUCACAGCCGGUCUCGAAGGCUACCAUGUCAAUGUCAAUGAGCAACAUAUUGCAUCCUUCCCUUACCACAUUGGUUACAACAUCGAGGACGCAACGGGCCUGUCAUUGAACAGAGACCUUGACAUCAAGUCGAUUUCUGUCGCCCAUCUGCCCAAAUCACACCCUAGCUUCGACCCAUAGCGAUACCUUGAAAUGUCUGCACAGUGGAAGGGCUCACCUCUGCCGACUGAACCUGUCGAGCUGUUCAUCGGUAUCCUUUCUGCAGCCAACCAUUUCGCCAAGCGGAUGGCCGUUCGCAAGAAAUCGUCUAACAAUGUUGCCCGGUUCUUUGUCGCUCUGGUAAGUACCUGUGGAUGA
rnacentral:rRNA from 1 species